UGGGGAAUAUUGGGCAAUGGAGGAAACUCUGACCCAGCCAUGCCGCGUGGGUGAUUGAAGGUCUUCGGGUUGUAAAACUCUUUCGUCGGGGACGAUAAUGACGGUACCCGAAGAAGAAGCUCCGGCUAACUUCGUGCCAGCAGCCGCGGUAAUACGAAGGGAGCUAGCGUUGUUCGGAAUCACUGGGCGUAAAGCGCACGUAGGCGGAUAGUUAAGUCAGGGGUGAAAUCCUGGGGCUCAACCCCAGAACUGCCUUUGAUACUGGCUGUCUCGAGGUCGAGAGAGGUUGGUGGAAUUCCUAGUGUAGAGGUGAAAUUCGUAGAUAUUAGGAAGAACACCAGUGGCGAAGGCGGCCAACUGGCUCGAUACUGACGCUGAGGUGCGAAAGCGUGGGGAGCAAACAGGAUUAGAUACCCCGGUAGUCCCCUGAGCGGGCUGGCAAGGCGCAU
rnacentral:rRNA from 1 species